rnacentral:lncRNA from 1 species
UUCAAAUCUUCAAAAUAGUCUUUAUUCUACAUUUUUAGCAUAAAAAUUCCACAAGUUAACUGCACUACAGUGUAGAGAGAGACAUACAAUGCUGAACUUCCAGAACAGUUAAUAUGACUACAGCAGUUACAUUGUGAGAAGUGCUGAAGGUAUGUGAUGUCUUUCCCGGCACAAAGGUGGCCUUGGUUCCUCACCAGAUGGUGUAGCCACCAUCUGAUUCACCCAUGAAGAAGUUCCCCUUCCACUGAGUUACGAGGACAUUGGCUGCCUGCAUGACUGCAAGCUGAGCAGCACUGGGAGGGCAUCCAGGAGGUGGAGGAAGAAUGUUGCCAGCAGUAGCCCCAGCUCCAAAUCUGGCACCUGCAUCAUACCCGCCUUCCACCAGCACUGUGGAGCCAGGUGGAUAGAUGGGACCAACUGGAUAAUAAGCCAUGGGGAUUGUGGAACCUAAAGACCCAACAGCCACAGACUGGGCCAUGGGAAGAUACAGAGAGGCUCCAGGAAA